UUAAGUUAUUAAGGGCGCACGGUGGAUGCCUUGGCACUAGAAGCCGAUGAAGGACGUUACUAACGACGAUAUGCUUUGGGGAGCUGUAAGUAAGCUUUGAUCCAGAGAUUUCCGAAUGGGGAAACCCAGCAUGAGUUAUGUCAUGUUAUCGAUAUGUGAAUACAUAGCAUAUCAGAAGGCACACCCGGAGAACUGAAACAUCUUAGUACCCGGAGGAAGAGAAAGAAAAUUCGAUUCCCUUAGUAGCGGCGAGCGAAACGGGAAGAGCCCAAACCAACAAGCUUGCUUGUUGGGGUUGUAGGACACUCUAUACGGAGUUACAAAGGACGACAUUAGACGAAUCAUCUGGAAAGAUGAAUCAAAGAAGGUAAUAAUCCUGUAGUCGAAAAUGUUGUCUCUCUUGAGUGGAUCCUGAGUACGACGGAGCACGUGAAAUUCCGUCGGAAUCUGGGAGGACCAUCUCCUAAGGCUAAAUACUCUCUAGUGACCGAUAGUGAACCAGUACCGUGAGGGAAAGGUGAAAAGCACCCCGGAAGGGGAGUGAAAUAGAACCUGAAACCGUGUGCUUACAAGUAGUCAGAGCCCGUUAAUGGGUGAUGGCGUGCCUUUUGUAGAAUGAACCGGCGAGUUACGAUUUGAUGCAAGGUUAAGCAGUAAAUGUGGAGCCGUAGCGAAAGCGAGUCUGAAUAGGGCGUUUAGUAUUUGGUCGUAGACCCGAAACCAGGUGAUCUACCCUUGGUCAGGUUGAAGUUCAGGUAACACUGAAUGGAGGACCGAACCGACUUACGUUGAAAAGUGAGCGGAUGAACUGAGGGUAGCGGAGAAAUUCCAAUCGAACCUGGAGAUAGCUGGUUCUCUCCGAAAUAGCUUUAGGGCUAGCCUCAAGUGAUGAUUAUUGGAGGUAGAGCACUGUUUGGACGAGGGGCCCCUCUCGGGUUACCGAAUUCAGACAAACUCCGAAUGCCAAUUAAUUUAACUUGGGAGUCAGAACAUGGGUGAUAAGGUCCGUGUUCGAAAGGGAAACAGCCCAGACCACCAGCUAAGGUCCCAAAAUAUAUGUUAAGUGGAAAAGGAUGUGGCGUUGCCCAGACAACUAGGAUGUUGGCUUAGAAGCAGCCAUCAUUUAAAGAGUGCGUAAUAGCUCACUAGUCGAGUGACACUGCGCCGAAAAUGUACCGGGGCUAAACAUAUUACCGAAGCUGUGGAUUGUCCUUUGGACAAUGGUAGGAGAGCGUUCUAAGGGCGUUGAAGCAUGAUCGUAAGGACAUGUGGAGCGCUUAGAAGUGAGAAUGCCGGUGUGAGUAGCGAAAGACGGGUGAGAAUCCCGUCCACCGAUUGACUAAGGUUUCCAGAGGAAGGCUCGUCCGCUCUGGGUUAGUCGGGUCCUAAGCUGAGGCCGACAGGCGUAGGCGAUGGAUAACAGGUUGAUAUUCCUGUACCACCUAUAAUCGUUUUAAUCGAUGGGGGGACGCAGUAGGAUAGGCGAAGCGUGCGAUUGGAUUGCACGUCUAAGCAGUAAGGCUGAGUAUUAGGCAAAUCCGGUACUCNNNNNUAAGGCUGAGCUGUGAUGGGGAGAAGACAUUGUGUCUUCGAGUCGUUGAUUUCACACUGCCGAGAAAAGCCUCUAGAUAGAAAAUAGGUGCCCGUACCGCAAACCGACACAGGUAGUCAAGAUGAGAAUUCUAAGGUGAGCGAGCGAACUCUCGUUAAGGAACUCGGCAAAAUGACCCCGUAACUUCGGGAGAAGGGGUGCUCUUUAGGGUUAACGCCCAGAAGAGCCGCAGUGAAUAGGCCCAAGCGACUGUUUAUCAAAAACACAGGUCUCUGCUAAACCGUAAGGUGAUGUAUAGGGGCUGACGCCUGCCCGGUGCUGGAAGGUUAAGAGGAGUGGUUAGCUUCUGCGAAGCUACGAAUCGAAGCCCCAGUAAACGGCGGCCGUAACUAUAACGGUCCUAAGGUAGCGAAAUUCCUUGUCGGGUAAGUUCCGACCCGCACGAAAGGCGUAACGAUUUGGGCACUGUCUCAACGAGAGACUCGGUGAAAUCAUAGUACCUGUGAAGAUGCAGGUUACCCGCGACAGGACGGAAAGACCCCGUGGAGCUUUACUGUAGCCUGAUAUUGAAAUUCGGCACAGCUUGUACAGGAUAGGUAGGAGCCUUUGAAACGUGAGCGCUAGCUUACGUGGAGGCGCUGGUGGGAUACUACCCUAGCUGUGUUGGCUUUCUAACCCGCACCACUUAUCGUGGUGGGAGACAGUGUCAGGCGGGCAGUUUGACUGGGGCGGUCGCCUCCUAAAAGGUAACGGAGGCGCUCAAAGGUUCCCUCAGAAUGGUUGGAAAUCAUUCAUAGAGUGUAAAGGCAUAAGGGAGCUUGACUGCGAGACCUACAAGUCGAGCAGGGUCGAAAGACGGACUUAGUGAUCCGGUGGUUCCGCAUGGAAGGGCCAUCGCUCAACGGAUAAAAGCUACCCCGGGGAUAACAGGCUUAUCUCCCCCAAGAGUUCACAUCGACGGGGAGGUUUGGCACCUCGAUGUCGGCUCAUCGCAUCCUGGGGCUGUAGUCGGUCCCAAGGGUUGGGCUGUUCGCCCAUUAAAGCGGUACGCGAGCUGGGUUCAGAACGUCGUGAGACAGUUCGGUCCCUAUCCGUCGUGGGCGUAGGAAAUUUGAGAGGAGCUGUCCUUAGUACGAGAGGACCGGGAUGGACAUACCUCUGGUGUACCAGUUGUCGUGCCAACGGCAUAGCUGGGUAGCUAUGUGUGGACGGGAUAAGUGCUGAAAGCAUCUAAGCAUGAAGCCCCCCUCAAGAUGAGAUUUCCCAACUUCGGUUAUAAGAUCCCUCAAAGAUGAUGAGGUUAAUAGGUUCGAGGUGGAAGCAUGGUGACAUGUGGAGCUGACGAAUACUAAUCGAUCGAAGACUUAAUCAA
rnacentral:rRNA from 1 species